rnacentral:hammerhead_ribozyme from 1 species
GUACUGAUGAAGAGUCCCAAACUUGCGAGACGAAACAGCUUUCCAGUAU